CUUACUAAGCAAUAAAGUUUGAUACGCAAACUGAGAUGCCGAACAGCAUUUUAAAUGCGUUGAUUCUAUUUAAUAUCAAUUGUAAAAAAUAAAAACAGUAUAAUGGAGCGGUCCAGUCCCAGACUGUAGUACGGAUAUAGAUAUACAGGAGCUUACUUGCGGCUUACGGUCAUUUCAGGGCAGGGAGAGUUCUUCAGCUUGUGGCUCUUGAUGGCUACUUCGAAGAUGCUGUGACGUGUCUGUGUGCACAACUGGACCGAUGAGGAGAUGACCCAGACGUUGACUGUGUAUGCUGAAUGGGAGCAGAAGAUAAGAGCCAGACCCAGGAACUUUGCCAUGAUAGAUGUAUGGAACCGGAUCACGAGGGAGCACUGAAAAAGAACAGGGAUCUACCACACUGGAGUGCAGGUUUGCCACCGCUAUAAUGACCUGCAUUAGAGUGAUGCAGAGGAGCUGUGGAGGAGGAUAGCCGAGGUGUGGAGACAACCUGUGGAUCCCUACAGCAAGUGGGAAUAUUCUACACAUACCUGAGCAUUCCUAUGGAUUUGAGAUACAUACAGCUAUAUAUAUAUAUCUAUAUAUAUAUAUAUAUAUAUAUAUAUAUAUAUAUAUAUAUAUAUAUAUAUAUAUCGCAUGGUGAUAAUUAAGUUUAAGUGGACUUGUCAGCUGCUGCCCUUAUAACUGUGGGUUCAAUUCCCAUGCUGUUAAUUUAUGUAAUAAUGUUUAGAGUAUCCAUAAUUAUGACCUUUGUAGAUGUACAUAUUUUUUACAACAUCAUUUCACAUUACCAAGAAAAUAGGCCUCUUUUCUCGGAUUGCCGUUUUAGUGUUUUGUUCCUGGGUUUACAUAAUUUCACAUUACCACUGUCCUCAUGCAUUACUGGCUGCUAUAGUGCCUAGGCCGCAGAUGACUGCACACUUUGUAGUUUUCCAUUAUAGUACCACAGUCUCAUAUACUGCACAAUUAUACAUUGGAUUAAAACCAAUAUAGAACUUCUAUAAUUCAUUCCUCCUAAUAAAGUACACAGACACAUUUAUUUAAGCCAAAAAGGAAUGCCUGUCUGACUGUGUGCACAUAUGUUUUCAGAUAUGUGUUGAUAGCUGUUAUUUCUGUACAAUAAUAUGUCCAAUAAGUGUUUGCAGUUUCUGUAUUCGUCCAUUGUUUGCAGGAAUUCUAAUAAACACCUGUAGUACCUGUUUUUUUAAUGAAAUUCCUACUGCCUAUUAGCUUGGCCAGUAAGGAAAUGGGACAGCAUGUUUAAAAUUUGUCAUGCUGUAGGUUCAAAUCCACAUGGGGGCACAUAUAGGAAACUGUUAUCCUGGUUUAAUCUACUCAUACCAUUUAUUUAGAAAAGCAUAUUCCACUUACAAGCAUAUAUUUUGAGCAUGGUUGUGAAUAACUCUGUUAUUUUUCAAAUUUAUCUGAACAUAUUUGUAAUCCGUAGUGGUCUAUUAACAACAGCUAUUUAACAGCAGGGUCAGUAAAGCUUGCUGCAGACUGUUAUAUGUCUGACCAAUGCUUUGGUUAAUAUUGUAUACUUUGUAAAAGUGCUAUCAAGUUCUGUUUUAUCAAUAAAUAUUACAUUCAAUUCAAGAACAAUAUCAUCCUCAAGUUUUGAGGGAGUGGGAUGGGUAGUCUAACAGCUGAAAUACAGAACAGGGAAGAUGUAUGUAUUUUGUUAGCAAUGUGCACUUUGCCAAGGAAUAUCAUGGUCUUCACACAUACCUUACUGUGUCCCUUAUGUACAGCAACUUGUAUAGUUCUGCUCACAGAAGCCAUAUGCUACAUGGCACUGUCCUAUUGUUGGAGAAUGAAUGAUUUCCAUUGCUGUUAAUGUUUCUGGACACAGUGCUGUCAUGAAUUAAGGUUUUCAAACUCUUUAGGUACAUGACCAGAAAAUGUACAUACUUUGAAAUCGUAAUCCAGCAUCAAUAUUAGUAGACCAUUCCCCCAUCCAGGUGAUGUCAUAAAAAGAAGUCUUUUCACUGUAUUCAAAAGAGGCAUUUUCAGCCAGGAUGGAUUAGCUAGCUAGGUAGCUUUGAAGGUUAGAAACUGAAUGUACAUUGUAGUUGCAGGUUUAAAUCUCAUGAACUCCAAUAUGUUUUCAAAGAUUUUAAAACCCUGUAUGUAAUACUGAAAAUGUACAUGUUGAUUAUCUAAAGUUCUUAAGGAAUAAAUUGACCAAAAGCUG